AAAUAAAUGUUGGAAGCUUCGCCUGACACGUCAAAAGUCCCCCAAAAUCCAACGCAACGGGAGAAUCAAAGAGGCGCAACGACGACGUUGCCGUGGCCGGCGAACAAAUUCCAACACGGAUGAACAGAUCACGGCACCGCCAAAUCAAUGAGUAUCAGUGGUAGAAAUCAAACUCCAACAUUUGAUCGCCGAUUCGAAGCUCGCUUCAUUUAGUCUUAGUGCGUGCGCAAAAGAUUAACCAAAACGAGAUUGAUGCUUACCGAUUCGACGAUGUAGGUGCAUUUGCUUCUCUCACUGUUCGAUUCAAGUCGAUGACGAAGGUUCACGCUCGCGCUUCGUGUUUGUGAUAAAAUUCAAAAUUCGUUCGUUUGCGUUACAGAUGGGGAAGACGAUGAAUUAUUGUUGAUUUCAGGGUGCGGGAUCGUUGCCUGAGGAUCAAAAGGGGCUCUCGAUGAAGAUCUUUCCCCCAAUUUCUUGCUUGAAGGUUUAGUGAUUUUUGAUGGAAGCGUGAUCGAAGAAGUUUGAGAAGGUUAGAGAGGUCAUUUCCAGGCUUACAGGUUGUUGCAGUUAUUAUCGAAUUGUGAGGAGAAUGGUGAUGUUGAAGGUGAACUAUGUUAUGGAGGUUGAAGGUGUUCUAGACCAUUUUGAGGGUGGAAGUUGGUUUUUAAGUUCUGUUAAGAGUUUUUUGGAAGAUGCCGGAAAUUUGGUUAUUCGGUUAGAGGUUGGUUGUGAGGGAGCUGUUAGAGGUUUUGUUCAAUGAAACAAAUGGAGAGCUUCCAAUUCUGUUAUGGCCUUUUGUUAUAUGAUUGAAGACUUUUGGUUCUGUGGCGAUGGAAGGUGAAGAAAUUGGUUUUGAAUCAGUUGUGACAGGUAGGUAGAUAGGUUAGAAUUCUGUUUUGGAUUCUGAACCGAAUUUCUGUUAGGAGGUUAUGGUUCUGUUUUUGUUGGUGUUUGGAAGUGGUUCGAAAUUGGUUGCGAAACGGUUUUAGCAGUUAGUUGAUUUCGGUUGGGGGGUUUUGAAGUUAGUUGCAGCUUUUUGGAUGCGGUUCGUUUCUGUUCUGAAGUGGUUUUAAGAGGGAUGUGAGGUUUGUUAAGGGAUGUUAGAAGAGGGUUUAUAAUGUGAGGGUUGAAGAGUUAUGUUAUGCCUUCAAUUUCUAUUUUGAUUUUCCUCAUCCCAAUGCUAAAUUCGUCAGGUUUUGUUGAACUGAAGUUGGCAUAUCUUGGUUCAGUUUGUGAUGGAGGUUGAAGAAUUGGUUCAAGGGGUCGGAGUGAAGCUGCAGUUCGGUUGAUAGAGAUUGGGAGCAUCUCCUUUCCAAAUUCCAUUUUUCAGGUUUGAACGGGAGAUUGCUGGAGGGAGGUCAGAAGCGGUUGGAAGCCGUUAUAGACUUAUCGAGAAGUUUGGGUUUUAGUGAGCAGGAUUUGGAACGAAGUUUCUGUUUUUGACUUCUGUUUCUCUUUUAUAAUCUAUUAGGGAAGUUGUUAGAGAAUUUGGUUAAUUGGCUUGAAUUGAUUUGGUUAUUUAGAGUUGGUUUUCCUUUUUGGCUUACUCGGUUCCGGUUUUUAUGCAGGUUGGCGGUAUUGUUGCAAUUCAAAGAGCGGUCUGUAUGGAGGGUGAUUCGAAGCUCCGUAAGUUGGUUUUUUGAGUUCUGUCCACAAUUCUUGAAACUGGUUUUGAAGUUGGCGUCAAGUUUUUUUACGGUUCUGUUACAAACCUCUUGGAAGUUAGUCGGAAAUUGUUAUCCCCUUUUUAUGGAGUUGUGUGAAGGCGUUGAAGGUUGGUUUAUUAGAAUCGGUUGGUGACUCCAUCAGUUAGACAUUCUGAAAUGUUAUGAACGCACUCCUCGUUAUUAUGUGGUUAGGUUGAAUGCUGAGUCAUGCUGUUAGGAAUGGAUGUAAUAUCUGCACUUGGACAUGUUAUAAAAUCAUAGAGUUGCUAUGCUUGGAGUGUUACUCAUGGAGCUGGUGUGGUGAAUCAUAUGCCUUGUGGAACAUGCUAAUGGAAUAUUGGAUUGUAUUGAUUGUUAUGCUGAGAUUGGGUAUAGUUGUAAAUGGAAUUAAAAUUAUGUAUUAAAAAUGGUUGUAAUUUUGUUGUAGUGAAUUGGUUUGAAAAAAAUGUAAUUUGAAUUGGUAUUUGGAUGUAAAUGUAUCAUGGUUUUGAAAUUGUAAUUGUAAAUGGAUUUGAAAAUGGAUGUAUGCACGGUUAUUGAUGGUUAAAUGAGAAUGUAUGGAAUUUUGUA